GCAGUUGUCGCCAAGUGGUUAAGGCCCCGGGUUGUGGUCCCGGUAUUCGCGGGUUCGACUCCCGUCAGCUGCC
rnacentral:tRNA from 1 species